GAAAUGCGAUAAGUACUGUGAAUUGCAGAAUUCAGUGAAUCAUCGAAUCUUUGAACGCACAUUGCGCCCGCCAGUAUUCUGGCGGGCAUGCCUGUUCGAGCGUCAUUACAACCCUCAGGCCCCCGGGCCUGGCGUUGGGGAUCGGCGGAAGCCCCCUGCGGGCACAACGCCGUCCCCCAAAUACAGUGGCGGUCCCGCCGCAGCUUCCAUUGCGUAGUAGCUAACACCUCGCAACUGGAGAGCGGCGCGGCCACGCCGUAAAACACCCAACUUCUGAAUGUUGACCUCGAAUCAGGUAGGAAUACCCGCUGAACUUAAGC
rnacentral:misc_RNA from 1 species